rnacentral:lncRNA from 1 species
AGAGAGGGAGCGCGCCUUGGCUCGCUGGCCUUGGCUGCGGCUCCUCGGGAGAGCUGGGGCGCCCACGAGAGGAUCCCUCACCUGGGUCUCUCCUCAGGGAUGACAUCAUCCGUCCACCUCCUUGUCUUCAAGGACCACCUCCUCUCCAUGCUGAGCUGCUGCCAAGGGGCCUGCUGCCCAUCUACACCUCACGAGGGCACUAGGAGCACGGAUUCCUGGAUCCCACCAACAUACAAAGCAGCCACUCACUGACCCCCAGGACCAGGAUGGCAAAGGAUGAAGAGGACCGGAACUGACCAGCCAGCUGUCCCUCUUACCUAAAGACUUAAACCAAUGCCCUAGUGAGGGGGCAUUGGGCAUUAAGCCCUGACCUUUGCUAUGCUCAUACUUUGACUCUAUGAGUACUUUCCUAUAAGUCUUUGCUUGUGUUCACCUGCUAGCAAACUGGAGUGUUUCCCUCCCCAAGGGGGUGUCAGUCUUUGUCGACUGACUCUGUCAUCACCCUUAUGAUGUCCUGAAUGGAAGGAUCCCUUUGGGAAAUUCUCAGGAGGGGGACCUGGGCCAAGGGCUUGGCCAGCAUCCUGCUGGCAACUCCAAGGCCCUGGGUGGGCUUCUGGAAUGAGCAUGCUACUGAAUCACCAAAGGCACGCCCCACCUCUCUGAAGAUCUUCCUAUCCUUUUCUGGGGAAUGGGGUCGAUGAGAGCAACCUCCUAGGGUUGUUGUGAGAAUUAAAUGAGAUAAAAGAGGCCUCAGGCAGGAUCUGGCAUAGAGGAGGUGAUCAGCAAAUGUUUGUUGAAAAGGUUUGACAGGUCAGUCCCUUCCCACCCCUCUUGCUUGUCUUACUUGUCUUAUUUAUUCUCCAACAGCACUCCAGGCAGCCCUUGUCCACGGGCUCUCCUUGCAUCAGCCAAGCUUCUUGAAAGGCCUGUCUACACUUGCUGUCUUCCUUCCUCACCUCCAAUUUCCUCUUCAACCCACUGCUUCCUGACUCGCUCUACUCCGUGGAAGCACGCUCACAAAGGUUCCCAGUGCCCCCGACAAGCCCCUGCUGGUGUCUCCAUCUCCUGCCAAGCAUCCUCCAGUGCCUCCUCCUGUGGGCCUGGCCUCAGGGCUAUGGACAGACUCCUGUCCCAUCCCAGAGACCCCUCGUGAUCGUGCCCUGUAGUCACCCCACUCCACCGAAAAGCAAACUGCAGGCACGUGGGCCGUGGCCCGGCUGGGUCGGCUGAAGAACUGCGGAUGGAAGCUGCGGAAGAGGCCCUGAUGGGGCCCACCAUCCCGGACCCAAGUCUUCUUCCUGGCGGGCCUCUCGUCUCCUUCCUGGUUUGGGCGGAAGCCAUCACCUGGAUGCCUACGUGGGAAGGGACCUCGAAUGUGGGACCCCAGCCCCUCUCCAGCUCGAAAUCCCUCCACAGCCACGGGGACGCCCUGCACCUAUUCCCACGGGACAGGCUGGACCCAGAGACUCUGGACCCGGGGCCUCCCCUUGAGUAGAGACCCGCCCUCUGACUGAUGGACGCCGCUGACCUGGGGUCAGACCCGUGGGCUGGACCCCUGCCCACCCCGCAGGAACCCUGAGGCCUAGGGGAGCUGUUGAGCCUUCGGUGUCUGCAUGUGGGAAGUGGGCUCCUUCACCUACCUCACAGGGCUGUUGUGAGGGGCGCUGUGAUGCGGUUCCAAAGCACAGGGCUUGGCGCACCCCACUGUGCUCUCAAUAAAUGUGU